CACUGGCUAACCCAGAAAGAGUGCUGGAAAUUGCUGGUAGUUACUGCUACGAUGGGAAAGGACCUCCAAGGUGGGAGCAAUUGUCUUUUCUCGGCUGGAAGCUAUUCUGAAGACUAAGACCCUUCAAGGACUGUAACCUGAAAGGUUUGGGGAUCCUUGACAGAGAUCACGAUGGCCACCACUUUGCCAGUUUCUUGUAACAAUGAAGUGAGACAAAUGCCUCAGGAUUCUGAGAGACAGAAAAUAGUAAAAAGAGGGUUCUUGAAAUUAUUUUUUUUCAAGAAGUCUUUUUUAUUUUCUACUCAAGAAAGCCAUAAGUAAUUUCCAGCUAUUGCCUCACUGGUUUCUCCAUCCAUUACUAUCUGGUUGUGAUAGGUAGAAUUUUGGAUCCAAGAUUUUUGCACUCUGAUAUUAUUCCUGAGGUUAUGCUAUAUUAAUUGGCAAAAGAGACUUUGCACAGGUAAUUAAGGUUACUAAUCAGUUGGCCUUAAAAUAGGGAUAUUAUCUGAGUGGGUCCAAUGUAGUUAUGUGAGCCAUUAAAAGCUAAGGGCAGAAGAGAAAGGCAGAGAGAUUCCAGGCAUGAGAAGGAUUCAGUGUGCCGUUGCUGGCUCUGAGAUAGAGGGGCCAUGUGCAAGGACCAGGGAGAGGCCUUUUGAAGCUAAAGCAGCCCCCCGGUUGACAAUCAUCAGGGAAACAGAGACCUUAGUCCUACAACUGCAAGGACCUGAACCCUGCUGACAACCUGAAUGAGUUUGGAAGUGGAUUCUUCCCCAGAACCUCCAGAAAGGAAUGCAGACUUGCCGAUUUGACUUAGGCCUUGUCAGACUAAUCAGAGAACCCAGUGGACCUAUGCCGCAUGCUGACUUCUGACCUACAGAAACUAAUUUACUCAAGACUUUUACUUUGUGGAGAGGACGGAGUGUGGACACGGGAAGUGGCACAUUAUGGAGUACUUGGCUUCUGCCUCUUGGCGUCUCUCCUGAGGACCCUGGGACACCCUUCGUUUGUUACUCACAGUUGUGAGGCCAGACUGUCUGCAGCCACCUUGCCUCCAGCCUGAGGAGGAAGCAAAGCACAGAGGAGGGCAGCGUUGGAAGAUCAAGGGGAUUGUUUAAAAUAGCUUAAGCAUCCAGAGAACCAACAAACCCCCAAAUUUCUAACGUGGUACUUUGCAAAUAAUGGAAACGUCAUUUCCAAGGAAAUUGAAAUGUUCCGCUAGAUCAUAAGCCUCCGGAGAAGAGCGUUACGCUUCGUAUGACUGUCUCCUUGGCCACUAGCACCAGACAUGAUACAUGGCAAAUUUUCGAGACUGGAGGUCAGAUUAUUGGCUACUGUGAUGAUUUCCUAGUCUGGAUACUCAAAUCAUAUCCUACCAAUCUUCUCUAUCUUCCAAAGGUCGUUCUGGGGAAGCUAAUUGAAAGUACUACUCCCAGUAGCAAUCUAGCUCCCAAUUUAGGACUCUGUGAUGAAACUGGGAAGGAGACAUGACUUGGGUCUUGGGUUUUGAGAGACGUGAGCCUGAGGAAGGAGGUAGUGGGUCUCUUACUUCCCCACUGCCCCCUAACCAAAUCUUAGGAUCAUAAUGCUCAGGAAUGCCCACGGACAGACAGAGACAAAGAGGAGAGAAAGGUGGAUUGUCCCCAGAGAGUCUCUGGGAACAUUUCCCAGCUUGUGGACUAGAAGAGGAAGACUAAUAAGGAUGCCUGACCCACCUCUGGCACCAGGACCGACCUGGGUCUGAGGCAGAAAGGUAAGCAGUUUACCUGGGUGCUGAUUUUAGGGCAAAGUCAUCCUCCCUGCUAGAAAAAAUGGCCCCACUGAAUGUCCUGAUCGAUCAAGAUUAGCAAUUCCCCCUCUUUAAGGGGAGAGCUAAUAAGAGGAGUAGUUGAACAGGAAGGAAGAUGGUGGAGUUCCCACCCCCAGGGUGAGCACUCAGUACGCGUUUGUUAAAAGAAUGAAUGAAGCCAGGCAGUGUUGCUAGGGAGUUGUUACUAUGAGAAAUACCAUUUGCAUGCAAAUUUUACAUUAUUAGCAAUUAGGAGCCUCUAGCAAGGAGCCUGAUGGAAGGGCCAAUAUGUUGCUUUUCUGAAUAAGAUGUGAAUGGAGAGGAACACCUCUAGCUUUCCGCAGAGCAUGAAACAGAGGCUUGGCUUUAGUUAUAUCAUGUUUGAGACUAUGAUGUCAGGUAAAUAAGUUCUGGAGGCACUACAGAAGCAGGAAUGAAUUGCAUGUGAAAGUUCAGAAUAUUGGAUCUCCUAUUCUCUUCUCCAACCCAGUUUCCUUUUCCUCACAAAUGGAAAAAGGAAAAUCCAAGCCCUAGUUCCUAUGAGAUGCCAAAUUGAGCCAGAGCUAGUUGUGAUGUUUGGCUUGCAUACUUUAAAGGCUAAUGGAAACUGGGGACAAAUUAGGAAAUAUUAUGCAGAUGAUUAAAAAGUUCAGAAGCACCCGAAGUGGAAGUUACGCCAUCCAAAGGAGAUGGUGGGGACAGCUCUACCCACUUGAAAGAGUCUUUAUCUCAGCUAAAACAUAGCAGAGGAAAAGUUCUGAAGUUGCCUCAAGAUAGAUUUAGGACUGGGAGAAAUUUCUGAUGAGGAUUAUGAAAACAAUCAGGAAAUCCACUUACAUAUCCUCACCCUAGAGUGUGGAGCCUGGGAGGUGAUAAAAAAUGUUUUUUGAGUGAAUGAUCAGGUCAUGGAAUCAUUCUUGACUUUCGCUUUGGGUAUAAAUGCUUUGCAUUUUUGACACUUUAGGAAUAAAGAAAACUGACCGGAUGAUUUCUCACAUUCCUUCCAGCUCCUUAAUCCUACAAACGGCUCAAAUUAGUUGAUUAUUUACUCCAGGAGACCCUAAAGGGUAUCUAGAGGUCACAGGUAAUCUCAUCUUUGGGGCAUGAAUCCACACUCACACCCUGAUUUUCCACCAGAAACGUUUAGACUUUUUCUCCAUUGGAAAAGCACGGUCACUGUUUCCUUUCUAUCGUGCCGUUAGUUAUUCUAAUCACUGAGGCUGUGUUACGUCCCUCUGAUACACAUCAGUUCGAGCUAUACAUGUGCUGUAAGGAGGGGAGAGCGAACCUCUCAGCUGUAGUCAAAAUUGGUUUCCUGAAUGAUGCUGCACGGUUUAACUGGAAUUUGCAUAGUAUUCUAGUGGAAAAAAAAAAAGAUGGGGGUGGAGGGAAGGGUUCCUUUGGUUUUCAGGCUGUUAACUGUAAUUAGCCUGGUUUCUGAGAUGUAAUUAUCUUGCAAUCUCAAAGCAAACACCCUGGAGGAAAUUGCACUGUUAAAGACAGCAUGGCAUUAAAAAUAAAUUAUUACCCUGGUGCCUGCUAUGGCUGCUCAUGCUUUGUGAUUUGUUGGGGUUUCUGUGAGCAAGUGCUUGUUUAGGGCUGGAGUUGUGCAGCCAUGUUGCCACUGUUUGUACUGGAGAGGUGGGAGGCAUGGCUUGCUUGGUUGUUAUACUGAUGUGAAAAUUUACCAUUAUGGUGGCAAAGCCUGGUGUUGUGCUAUCCACGCUCCCCUCUCCAAUCCUCAAUCACCAAGAGACCCAGGGUCAAGGAAAGAGCACUGGGAGUCCUCUUUCGCAGCUGGCACUGAUGAACGAGCGGAGAGGAGCAUCAUAAACUACAGCUCAGGCAACUCAAAUGAUUCACAAGGAAAAAUUGUGAGGAAGCAAGAAUUACCCCACCUAUCUUAGGGCCAAACACUGAGGGAUCAUGAGUCGUCCUCACUGACCGAUCACAGAGGCUGGAAAGACCACAUCAUGGGAUUUGGAAUCAGAGACUUGUGGGUCUGAACAUACGAUUGUGCAGGUUGUAUACUGCACAAACAGUCCCCACUGAGGGGACGGGGGAGGCUGACAUUCCACCAAUGUCCCCUGACCAAGCUGUG